rnacentral:rRNA from 1 species
GACAGAGGGGGCAAGCGUUGCUCGGAAUUACUGGGCGUAAAGGGCGGGUAGGCGGCCACCGCAAGUCAGUUGUGAAAUCUCUGGGCUUAACCCAGAAAGGUCAACUGAUACUGCGGGGCUAGAGUGCAGAAGGGGCAACUGGAAUUCUCGGUGUAGCGGUGAAAUGCGUAGAUAUCGAGAGGAACACCUGCGGCGAAGGCGGGUUGCUGGGCUGACACUGACGCUGAACUGCGAAAGCUAGGGGAGCGAACGGG